rnacentral:lncRNA from 10 species
AAUGACCCUUGGUAGGAAGGUAAGUUCACUGUCCCCAGAAGGCCUGCGGGAAGAGGCACUGCAUUUUACUCAGAGCCCCUGGCAGCUGGGGAGCUGAGGAGGGGCCGUCUGUCUCCUCUGUCUGUCAAGACACACUAGAGAAACAGGUGGGGAGAGAAUCCGCAGAGCUGCCCGCAGGUGGCCCCCUGGGUGGGACUGGGCCUCUCUGCUUCCCGGGGCUGCAGGGAAGGUGUCACAGGCUAAGGGUGGACUCUGGACACGGCUGCAGCUCUCACCAUUCAGCUGUGGGGUCUCUCUUCGCACCUCCAUCCCGAGGGUCAGGGAAGGACUGGGCGGAAAAAAGCCAAGAAGCUGGUCUCAUCCACAGACACAUGGGGCUUCAAGGUGGAGGAGCCCCAGCCCAGUGGGGUGGACAAGGUGCCGGGGACUGCAUAGUGACCGUCAGGGCAGCCAUCAGCUCCUCCUAUGAAACCCCACAGGGGUGGCUGGCACUUGUCACCCUGAAGAGGCUGCAAUUCCCUCGCACAGGUCAUCUUGGAACAGGCAAAUUCAUUAUAGACCCCUGGGGUCAGGAGGGGGCUCAGUACAGUCCCAGAAGGUUCCAUGAAAGCCAGAAGUAGUGCCCUCAGCUUCAGCCAGGACCCUCCUGCCUGCACAUUUGUUGACCACCCAGGGCCUGGGUGCUCCUGCCUCCGGCCCCCUUUCCCCACCGUGAAUCCAUAUGGUCCCUUCUUUCCCAGCACAGCCACAGGACAGCUCUGUCACACCCUCCCCAGUGACCUACCAUGAGCCACCUGGGCCGACUGGCCCUCCUUCCCCACAGAGCCCCUGGCACCCAGGACUUCCUGGCAGGUGCUGGCCCUGAAGUCCUGGGCUUCCUCUGGGCUCCUAUGUGAAGCCAGCGCCCUGGAGGCCAGGUGUUUCCUGUGGGUGGGGGGGCCUGGAAGGUUCUACCACACUCACAUUCCACCUCCUCCUCUGGGGCCUCCCACUUGUGGCUCAGGCCCUGCUACUGUUAAUCAGAGGGAAGAGAGAAGGCCCUGGGGAUGGGGUGUGUGAAGGCCUGGACUGUCUACCGCAGGCUGGGCAUGGGGUGGGGAAGUCUCAGGGUAGCAGCAAGGCAGGAAGGGGAGGAACACCCAGAGCUUGGGGGCAGAGAUAAGUAAGGAGCCCCCAGUUCCAGGCAACCUGUGGGUGUGGCCUCUGGGGACCAGCCAGACAGCCUGGCAUGGACAGCCUCACUCUUCUCACUGCUUUGCAAAUGCCACAGGUGGUCAAGCACCCACGUGGUCUUCACACAUCUGCACCUUGCAGGUCCAGGAUGGAGCUGUGAUCAUCGCUGGAUGGGAAAGCAGCUUCCUGUCUCCCUCUCAGCAAGUGGAGUGCAGUGGGGUGGGCAGCUGCUUGCUGCAGACUCACUCCUAUCCCCAAAGAAGCCUUGAGAGGAGGCCCUACCAUAUGGGGAGACUGAAGAUCUGAAAGGCCCAGCUUGCCCAAGGAACUCAGCCAGUCAAGGACAGCCUGGAGGUGGGCAAGUCAUCAGGACCCCAGACCAGGAACGAUGGAGGCUCCAAAGUCCACCAGUAGAGGGAAGAAAAUAGCCGCUGUCCCCAGGCAGAGCCACCAGUCACACAGGGACGAGAUCUCAGAAUGAGCACUGGGCAGGGUUCUCUGGGAUGCUGAGCUCUGGUCUUCCCUGUGAGCGGCCUUGGACAAGUCAUCUGCCCAGACCCUCCAUACCCCGUGCUGUGUCUUCUCAGAGAGUGAGCGUUCGGAAGCAUGGCGCUCUCUGAAGUCCGUGGCUGGGAUGUCCAUGGCUGUGACGACCUUCUGAAAACCAUGUGGUCUCUGUCCCACUUUCAGCCUCACAGUGCACGAAUGCAAGCCCGGAGUAAGCGCCCCCAACUGGGCUCAAGACCUUCUUCUUGGGGGUCCCUGUUGCAUCAGCUUCUUUUAAGUUAACUUUCUCUUGCAGUACAGUAUGAAUAAAGAAAAGUCUAACACUAUGUGUCCAACUCCAUUUGGACUUUCACAAAGUGAGUACCUUCAUGUCCUCAGCUCUCAGAUCAAGAAGAAAAUACUGCCAGCUCCCGAGUCCUCUUCUACCUCUUCCUGUCAUUAAUACCCCCAAGACAACGACGACCUUGACUACUAACGCCAGAGGUUAAUCUGGCCUCCUUUGGAAUUACACGACAGGUACGCUCUUGCAUCUGGCCUCUCUCCUCCCACGUGGAGUCUGAGCCUCACCACAUGACGUCAUAGCUCCUUCCUCUCACUGCUGUAGCCCAGCCCAUCUCAUGAACAAAGCACCAUCCAUAUAUCCAUAUGCCUCUGUGGAUGGAUGCUUGGCUCGGUUUUCAGUCUGGGCUAUUACGGUGCUGUCAUGAGCAGUCUCCUGGUGAACAUUUGCACACGUUUCCUUUGCGAAAUGCCUGGGAAGGGAAUUACUGGGCUGUUGGGUGGACAUGUGUUUGGCUGCAGUAGGUCCUGCCAGCUUUCUCAAGUGGUCGUACCAAUUCACCCUCCCUCCACCAUUGUGGGAGGCCCCAAGCUGCCCCUCGGCACCAACAUCUGGGAUGUCUUUUUCUUUUGAACCACUCUCUUGGAUUCGGUGUAAUGCUGUGAUUGUAAUUUGUAUUUCUGUGAUGACUAAUGUGGUUGAGCACCUUUUUCUACGCCAUCACCUUCUUUUUUUACUUUGGGUUUUUAAUAGACACAUAAUAAUUGUACGUAUUUAUGGGGUAUAUGUGAUAUAUUGG